CAUUUAUGAGGUGCUAAACUCCACUAUUUGAGCUAAUCUUCAAUGACCUACUUCUGUUUAAACUACACCAUUUUCCAAGGCAGCCUACCUCUCGUGUGGUGGAGGAUGGCAGCACGUAGCCAGCGAUGGACAAGCCGUGGCACUUCUGCAGAAUCUUCCAGACCUUCUGGUA